rnacentral:rRNA from 1 species
UACGGGGGGGGGCAAGCGUUGUUCGGAAUUACUGGGCGUAAAGGGCUCGUAGGUGGCCAACUAAGUCAGACGUGAAAUCCCCAGGCUCAACCUGGGAACUGCGUGUGAUACUGGAUGGCUUGAAUUCGGGAGAGGGAUGCAGAAUUCCAGGUGUAGCGGUGAAAUGCGUAGAUAUCUGGAGGAACACCGGUGGCGAAGGCGGCAUCCUGGACCGGCACUGACGCUGAGGAGCGAAAGCCAGGGGAGCAAAGCGGG